UUAAGCGUUGCUCUAGCCUACAACAUGAUUGUAGCUAACACCCUCUUUAAAAAGAGAGAAUCACAUCUGGUGACUUUUAGUAGUGGCCAACACUCUAGCCAGAUUGAUUUCAUCCUCUCGAGAAGCGAAGAUAGGCGUGCGUGCCUAGAAUGUAAGGUGAUACCUGGAGAGAGUGUUUUACCCCAGCAUAAGCUGGUGGUUGCUGACUUCCGCUUUCGGAUUCGUGUCCAGUGGGAUAAGCGUGCCAAAGUCGCUAGAACAAAGUGGUGGAAGCUCAAGGGGGAGGUGGCUCAGGCGUUCAAGGAGAGGGUCAUUAAGGAGGGCCCUUGGGAGGAAGGAGGGGAUGCGGACAAUGUGUGGAUGAAGAUGGCGACUUGCAUUUGUAAGGUGGCCUCGGAGGAGUUUGGAGUG
rnacentral:rRNA from 1 species